rnacentral:rRNA from 1 species
GCCUACGGGGCGCAGCAGUAGGGAAUCUUCCACAGUGGGCGAAAGCCUGAUGGAGCAACGCCGCGUGGGUGAAGAAGGUCUUCGGAUCGUAAAACCCUGUUGUUAGAGAAGAAAGUGCGUGAGAGUAACUGUUCACGUUUCGACGGUAUCUAACCAGAAAGCCACGGCUAACUACGUGCCAGCAGCCGCGGUAAUACGUAGGUGGCAAGCGUUAUCCGGAUUUAUUGGGCGUAAAGGGAACGCAGGCGGUCUUUUAAGUCUGAUGUGAAAGCCUUCAGCUUAACCGGAGUAGUGCAUUGGAAACU